AUUGAACGCUGGCGGCAGGCCUAACACAUGCAAGUCGAGCGAGCGGCGCACGGGUGAGUAAUGUCUCUGAAACUGCCUGAUGGAGAGGGAUAACUCCAGGAAACGGUAGCUAAAACCGCAUACCAUCAGAUGUGCCCAGAUGGGAUUAGCGAUUAUGGGGGGUAACGGCUCACCUAGGCGACGAUCCCUAGCUGGUCUGAGAGGAUGACCAGCCACAGUGGAACUGAGACACGGUCCAGACUCCUACGGGAGUCAGCAGUGGGGAAUAUUGCACAAUGGGCGCAAGCCUGAUGCAGCCAUGCCGCGUGUGUGAAGAAGGCCUUCGGGUUGUAAAGCACUUUCAGCGGGGAGGCGUUACCCGCAGAAGAAGCACCGGCUAACUCCGUGCCAGCAGCCGCGGUAAUUC
rnacentral:rRNA from 1 species